UGUAAUUUAUUUUAAUUGUAACUGUUGGUCCGUUAUGGACCAUGCAUUUCAUCAAAUAGAAGCAAAGAAGAGAAACGAAGCAGAGGAGUAAACCCCAUUAAAUGGGGGUUGCAUUGAUGUAGUUCCACGGUAAUUUAGCAAAAAUUAGCAAUAAUUUAGUUGCUCACAAUUCUAUGGCCGAGCCAAAGGGGUCAGCGUCCAGGUCCCCUCAUCAUCCACAGGCUUAGCGUCGGGGCCGUCCUCAUUCAUUGCAGCCUCGGCGAAGGCGGAGUCCAGAUCUCCUGUGUUUCAGACCGCCAGCAAUGAUGGCAAUCGCAGAGGCCAAGGGAGCGAGCGCUCUCAGGAACGCCUUCGGGGGCAUCUUGGGUGUAUUCAUUCUCCUCCUUAUCGGGAUUUUCGCCUUCUCGAUUCGCCUCUUUUCCGUUAUCAAGUAUGAGAGCGUGAUUCACGAGUUUGAUCCAUACUUCAAUUAUAGAGUCACUCAGUAUCUUACAAAUAAUGGAAUUUAUGACUUCUGGAACUGGUUUGAUGAUCGAACCUGGUAUCCUCUUGGUCGUGCCAUCGGUGGAACUGUUUAUCCUGGCUUGACAUUAACAGCAGGUUCUAUGUGGUGGCUACUGAAUUCCUUGAAUAUUCCUCUAUCAGUGGAGACUGUCUGUGUAUUCACUGCUCCAAUUUUCUCUGCUAAUGCAGCUUGGGCUACAUACCUUCUGACAAAGGAAGUUAAGGGCACUGGAGCUGGAUUGACUGCAGCAGCCCUAUUAGCAAUGGUGCCUUCCUAUAUUUCACGUUCUGUGGCUGGCAGCUAUGACAAUGAAGCUGUAGCAAUAUUUGCUCUAAUAUUGACAUUUUAUUUUUAUGUAAAGACACUGAAUUCAGGAUCACUCUUCUAUGCUACCCUAAAUGCUUUAUCAUACUUCUACAUGGUGUGUUCUUGGGGAGGCUACACAUUCAUCAUUAACCUUAUUCCCAUGCAUGUUCUGUUGUGUAUUGUAACUGGUCGCUACUCUUCACGAUUGUACAUUGCUUAUGCUCCUCUGGUUGUCUUGGGAACUCUUCUAGCUUCUUUGGUUCCCGUGGUUGGUUUUAAUACAGUGAUGACGUCAGAGCAUUUUUCGUCAUUUCUGGUUUUUGUAAUCAUUCACAUGGUUGCCCUUGUUUAUUAUAUCAAAGGGAUUCUAUCUCCAAAGAUGUUCAAAGUGGCUAUGACACUUGCUGUGACAAUUGGCUUGACUGUUUGUUGUGCGGUUAUCGCCAUAUUCAUAGCAUCGGUGGCUUCCAGCCCCACAAAAGGAUGGAGCGGGCGUAGUUUGAGUCUUCUUGAUCCAACAUAUGCGAGCAAGUACAUACCAAUCAUUGCUAGUGUUAGUGAACAUCAGCCACCAACGUGGCCUUUAUAUUUUGUGGACAUAAAUGUUUUGGCAUUCUUGGUUCCAGCUGGUAUUAUAGCAUGCUUUUCACCUUUAUCUGAUGCCAGCUCAUUUAUGAUCCUUUACUUAGCAAUAUCAGCAUAUUUUUCUGGAGUAAUGGUGCGUCUUAUGCUUGUUUUGGCUCCAGCUGCAUGCGUCAUGUCCGGAAUUGCUCUUUCUGAAGCCUUCGAUGUUUUCACACGUUCAAUCAAGUUUCAGGCAGGGGACAUUAAUUCUGAGAGUUCUAUAGCUCAAAAUGAUGUAUCGAAUGUUGAUAGCAAUGCAACAACUGAUAAAUCUGAAACUGUAUCAAAAGAACCAUCAAGGAAGAACCAUGAGAAGGAAAAGGAACAAGAAAUUGUGAAAAAUGUUACUAGUAAGUCCCAAAAUGGAAAAAAGCUUCUGGUGUUGCCCCAGGAAGUGUCUGCAGUUGUCAUUCUUCUUCUGAUCGCACUUGGUGGCUUUUAUGUGGGCCAUUGUGUAUGGACAACAGCAACAGCUUACUCUGCCCCUGCAAUUGUUCUAAAAUCUUAUACCCCUGAUGGGUUGCGUGUGUUUGAUGAUUUUCGUGAAGCCUAUGCAUGGCUACAGCACAAUACUGAUGUGGAUGAUAAGGUGGCAUCUUGGUGGGAUUAUGGUUACCAAAUAACUGCUAUGGCUAAUCGUACUGUCAUAGUCGACAAUAAUACCUGGAAUAACACCCAUAUUGCAACCGUUGGUGCUGCCGUGUCAUCCCCAGAGAAAGCAGCUUGGGAGAUUUUUAACUCAUUGGAUGUCAAAUAUGUUUUGGUUGUUUUUGGAGGUCUUGUUGGCUACCCAAGUGAUGAUAUUGAUAAGUUCAUAUGGAUGGUUCGCAUCGCAGGUGGUGUAUUUCCGCACAUCAGGGAACAGGAUUAUCUUAGGGAUGGACGGUACCAUAUUGAUGCUCAUGCAACUCCAACGAUGCUGAAUUGCCUCAUGUACAAGCUCUCUUAUUACAGGUUUGUGGAGACAGAGGCAGAAGGGUUUGAUAAAGUUAGGAGGACAGAAAUAGGAAACAAAAAGUUUGAGCUAACCCAUUUUGAGGAGGCAUUCACCACAGAACAUUGGAUGGUCCGAAUUUAUAAGUUGAAACUUCCAAAGAACAGGAUCCAAGGAAAGUUGAAGAAUAAAUCAAGUUCUGAAACUUAUUCGAGCAAUCAAACAAGGGCUAGAAAUACAAGAAGGAACCCAUGGCAGUGAAUCGAUUCCAAGAUUAACGUCUAAUCAGUUUGAAGAAUAAAAACUGGUGUUUUCGCCAUGCCAAGGAUUCCUUGGACAUGCUUUGUGUGGAAAGGCUUAAGGAAGCUGAUAACUGAGGAGGUUGUCGAAGGAAAAGCUGCUGGUGUCUCAAGUUGUAAAAGUUCAUGCAACUCCAACAAUGCUGAAUGCCAUCAUGAAGAAGCUCUCCUAUCACAUGUUUGUGAAUCGUUCUGUUGGUUUCCCACUUGAUUUACAGUUGCAGCAACAAUGUUGCUUCUGAUUUUAGUUUCUUAUUUCUAGACUUGUGGAGACAGUGGACCAGGGUUUGAUCAAGUAAGGAGGACAGAAACAGGAAAACAAAAAUUCAAGCUCUCCUAUUACAUGUUUUGACAACUGCUGCACCAAAAGUUGUCUUCCAUUUUCUCUUAUUUCUAACCAAAUUUCGAAAUCUGACUGAAGCAUACUGUCUUCCAGUUCCGUUGGCUUUUAGUUUGUCAUUGUCAGAAUAUGCCUGGAUCAGCAAGCUAUGCAUUGGCUUCUUCACAUGCCUAAUUUUUUCAUGGCUGCCGGAUAAAUUUUACUCUGGUGCUUGAUUCAGGUAUUCACUACGCAUCAUUGGAUGAUUUGUAUUUAUAAGUUGAAACCUCCAAAGAACAGGAUCUGGGGAAAGUUGAAGAAGACUAAAUCAAGUUCUAAAACUUCUAGAAGCAUUCAAAGAAGGGCUGGAAAUGCAAGAAAGAACCCAUGGCACUGAACUGAUUCUAAGAUGAACAUCUUAUCGGUUUAGGGAUUCUGCUGUGUGCAUGACCCUCGAGAGGAGGGAAAGGGAUGAGGCGGCUUUGAUUGUUUGCAGGCACAAAAAAGUAGAUAUUUGAUGAAGGAAUUUGCAGUGUCCUUUCAUAUUGCAUACUUUUUCCUUUUUUAUUUGCAUUGCUAUCAAAGGAUCACGGACAAAUUUUUGGCUGGCGUAUCGUGGAAAUUGGAGCAGUGCAUUAUUUUUUCUAUGCAAUCGUGAAGUUGAUUU